UGGGGAAUAUUGGACAAUGGGCGCAAGCCUGAUCCAGCCAUGCCGCGUGUGUGAAGAAGGCCUUAGGGUUGUAAAGCACUUUCAGUGGGGAGAAAGGUAAUUCACUUAAUACGUGAGUUAAUUGAUGUUACCCACAGAAGAAGCACCGGCUAACUCCGUGCCAGCAGCCGCGGUAAUACGGAGGGUGCAAGCGUUAAUCGGAAUUACUGGGCGUAAAGCGCACGUAGGUGGUUUGUUAAGCCAGCUGUGAAAUCCCCGGGCUCAACCUGGGCACUGCAGUUGGAACUGGCAAGCUAGAGUAGGGUAGAGGGGUGUGGAAUUCCAGGUGUAGCGGUGAAAUGCGUAGAUAUCUGGAGGAACAUCAGUGGCGAAGGCGACACCCUGGACUCAUACUGACACUGAGGUGCGAAAGCGUGGGGAGCAAACA
rnacentral:rRNA from 1 species